GACGAACGCUGGCGGCGUGCUUAACACAUGCAAGUCGAACGGAAAGGCCCUGCUUUUGUGGGGUGCUCGAGUGGCGAACGGGUGAGUAACACGUGAGUAACCUGCCCUUGACUUUGGGAUAACUUCAGGAAACUGGGGCUAAUACCGGAUAGGAGCUCCUGCUGCAUGGUGGGGGUUGGAAAGUUUCGGCGGUUGGGGAUGGACUCGCGGCUUAUCAGCUUGUUGGUGGGGUAGUGGCUUACCAAGGCUUUGACGGGUAGCCGGCCUGAGAGGGUGACCGGCGACAAUGGGACUGAGAUAGGGCCCAGACGCCUACGGGAGGCAGCAGUGGAGAAUAUUGCACAAUGGGCGGAAGCCUGAUGCAGCAACGCCGCGUGCGGGAUGACGGCCUUCGGGUUGUAAACCGCUUUCUCCUGUGACGAAGAGUGAGUGACGGUAAUGGGUAAAGAAGCACCGGCUAACUACGUG
rnacentral:rRNA from 1 species